GCCCCUUCGGAGACAUUCGUUAAAAUUGGAACUUUACAGAGAAAAUUAGCAUGGCUUUGCGCAAGGAUGACGCGAAAAAAUUGAGAAAAUGGUCCUACUUUU